GGUUGGUGUACGAAUACCUUAGCAUGUCGAAACGCCACAUUCUUACUAGUCUAUAUCCGUCAUUUUCUUUGGCUGCAUCUUCUCUGCACCAAUCCAUCAGCCCUUCCCGCAACAAACAACAAGAAUAAUUAAAUUUUUUGUCCUCCAGCUUGGUAGUUUUAGUGUGUGUUUCUUUCUCUUCAUGAAUACUUGCGAUUUGAC
rnacentral:lncRNA from 1 species